GGGCCAUUAGCUCAGCUGGCUAGAGCACUUGCAUGGCAUGCAAGGGGUCAGCGGUUCAAAUCCGCUAUGGUCCA
rnacentral:tRNA from 1 species